UACAGAGGGUGCUAGCGUUAAUCGGAUUUACUGGGCGUAAAGCGUGUGUAGGCGGUUUGCUAAGUCGAGUGUGAAAUCCCCGGGCUCAACCCGGGAAUUGCAUUCGAUACUGGCAAGCUAGAGUACGGUAGAGGGCGGCGGAAUUCCGGGUGUAGCGGUGAAAUGCGUAGAUAUCCGGAGGAACACCGAUGGCGAAGGCAACCGCCUGGGCCUGUACUGACGCUGAGACGCGAAAGCGUGGGGAGCGAACAGG
rnacentral:rRNA from 1 species